GAUGAACGCUGGCGGCGUGCCUAAUACAUGCAAGUCGAGCGAACAGAUAAGGAGCUUGCUCCUUUGACGUUAGCGGCGGACGGGUGAGUAACACGUGGGUAACCUACCUAUAAGACUGGGAUAACUUCGGGAAACCGGAGCUAAUACCGGAUAACAUUUGGAACCGCAUGGUUCUAAAGUGAAAGAUGGUUUUGCUAUCACUUAUAGAUGGACCCGCGCCGUAUUAGCUAGUUGGUAAGGUAACGGCUUACCAAGGCAACGAUACGUAGCCGACCUGAGAGGGUGAUCGGCCACACGGGAACUGAGACACGGUCCAGACUCCUACGGGAGGCAGCAGUAGGGAAUCUUCCGCAAAGGGCGAAAGCCUGACGGAGCAACGCCGCGUGAGUGAUGAAGGGUUUCGGCUCGUAAAACUCUGUUAUUAGGGAAGAACAAACGUGUAAGUAACUGUGCACGUCUUGACGGUACCUAAUCAGAAAGCCACGGCUAACUACGUG
rnacentral:rRNA from 1 species